UUUCAAUUCAACCUUGCAUUUCUAGGUAUUCAUUUACCAUAAUAGAACUCUAAGGCUCUUUAAGGUUAGGUUGUGUUUAUUUAUGCUUUCAGUGCAAAACACACUCAACAAAUAUUUCCUUUAAGACUCUCCAUAAGAAGGAAAAGAAGCAUCUCAGGCAAAAUUUCCUGACCAACCCCCCCAACACAUACACAAUUUUUUUUAAUUGCUUAUACUCUGAUAACAGGAUACCAAGAUUAUUUCUUUUUUAAAAGGAUAGUAAUACAAGUUUCUCUUAAAUUGUUUUUUUCAAUGAAUUAAAUCAUGAUUUAAUAAUUCUCUACCAUCCUUAACUCCUGCCUGGUCUGCUUCUUACUCCACUCCACUAGUCUUUCUAAGUGCUGUCAUCCACUCCCAUGGUACUUCUUCCCAUUUAUGUACAAAUAAUUCCCAAAUCUUGACUCCACCUGAAAUCUCUCCUCUGAAUAUGGACCCAUCCAGCUACCUGCUGGACCUCUUCCUUAGGAUAUCUGACACGUAUCUCACACUCAGUGUGUCCAAACAUCCAACCUGUUCUUUCUUUCCACAGCUACUUCUCAACUCUUUUGCCAUUGUUGAAAUCUUGAAGUUAUCCUUGACUAUUAUCUCACAUUCACUACACAUCCAAGUCCAAUUAAUUCUGUGUUAAUAACAGCAUGUCUAAACCAGUGGACAACAAGUGGGGGAAUUUUUGCCCUGAGCAGCCAUUUGGCAAUGUCUGGAAAUAUUUUUGCUUGUCAUAGUUGGAGAGUACCUGCUCCUGGCAUUUAAGGGCCAAAGCUGUGUCUAGAUAUCCUACAGAACAGCCCUUCAUAACAAAGAAAUAGCACCACUAGCAUUUUGGCCAGCUAAGGUUGAGUGGUCUUAUUCUCAACCAUUUCCUCUCCUUCCUUCCCCAUUUGGACUACAUUAGAUGACUGUGGCUAGUAGUGAUAAGAGUCAUCUGUUACCAGAGUAUCCACUUGUCUAUGUCUACCCUCUACUACAUCUCAUAGCCUUCCUCAAGAUGUAACCCAAUUGCUUCCCCCAAGAGUGUUCAUCUUCUUAAGCAAAUAUGGCUUUCAAUACCUAUAUGAGGAAGUCCAGCUGUCUAUCAUUGUGUGCAUGAGUCCUUCUGUGGCCUAUCCUUGCCGCCUCCUUCAGUUCUUUCUCUUGCCAUUCAUCUCAUUCUAUAAUCCAACCCUGUUACUGAGCCCUUCUGAGCAAGUUUUCCUGGCAUGUACCCUGUGCUCCAUCCCCU
rnacentral:lncRNA from 1 species